rnacentral:sRNA from 1 species
UAGCCCUCACCGGACAGGAUGCUCUGAGGCUAGAUGGGGAGGCGGGAGGGCCGGGAGGGCCGGGAGGGCGCUGCUGUCUGUCCAGACCCCGGAAUCGUACG